rnacentral:rRNA from 1 species
AAUGGGAUGCGAAUCUCGAAAGCCUGUCUCAGUUCGGAUUGGAGGCUGAAACCCGCCUCCAUGAAGUUGGAUUCGCUAGUAAUCGCGCAUCAGCCAUGGCGCGGUGAAUACGUUCCCGGGCCUUGUACACACCGCCCGUCACACCAUGAGAGUUGGGAAUACCCGAAGCCUGUGAGCUAACGAAAGAGGCAGCAGUCGAAGGUAGAAUCAAUGAUUGGGGUGAAGUCGUAACAAGGUACC